CGGCGUGCUUAAACACAUGCAAAGUCGAACGAGAGGAUAUGAAAGCUUGCUUUCUAUAAAAAUCUAGUGGGCAAAACGGGUGGAGUAAACGCGUAAAACAACCUGCCCUUCGGAUGGGGACAACAGCUGGAAACGGCUGCUAAUACCGAAUACGUCUUUUCAUCGCAUGGUGAGAAGAAGAAAAGGACGGCCUCUACACAAAGCGGUCGCCGAAGGAGGGGUUUGCGUCUGAUUAGCUAGUUGGAGGGGUAACGGCCCAACAAGGCGACGAUCAGUAGCCCGGUCCUGAGAGGAUGAACGGCCACAUUGGGACUGAGACACGGCCCAGACUCCUACGGGAGGCAGCAGUGGGGAAUCUUCCGCAAUGGACGAAAGUCUGACGGAGCAACGCCGCGUGAGUGAAGACGGUCUUCGGAUUGUAAAGCUCUGUUAUACGGGACGAACGGCAAGGUGGUAAAUAGCCAUCAUGAGUGACGGUACCGUAAGAGAAAGCCACGGCUAACUACGUGCCAGCAGCCGCGGUAAU
rnacentral:rRNA from 1 species